CUCAUCCCAUCUCCGAUUCAUCUGACUCUGAUCCAUCCAGUCAUGAUCUCUACUUGAUCCUGUGUAGUUAGUCUUUUCUUUAGUUUUUGUUUAGAAUAUGUAAUGCAAUGUUGACUGUUUGAUUUUUGGAUAGUCUCUAUCCAUGUCUUUUGUAUUCCAAGUCAACAUCUAUGUAUUGAACCAUCUUUGUACUCACUCAUCUUUUGGAUAUAUAUAUA
rnacentral:lncRNA from 1 species